rnacentral:rRNA from 1 species
CACGGAGUUAGCCGAUGCUUUUUCUUCGGAUACACGCAGUCCGGGACACGUCCCGGGUUUUGUUCUCCGACAAAAGAGGUUUACAGCCCAUAGGGCCGUCUUCCCUCACGCGGCUUGGCUGGUUCAGGAUCUCUCCCAUUGACCAAUAUUCCUCACUGCUGCCUCCCGUAGGAGUCUGGUCCGUGUCUCAGUACCAGUGUGGGGGACCUUCCUCUCAGAACCCCUACGCAUCGUCGCCACGGUGGGCCGUUACCCCGCCGUCAAGCUAAUGCGCCGCAUGCCCAUCCUCUUCCGAUGAAUCUUUCCUCGAUCUCGGAUGCCCGAAACCGAUAUACGCGGGAUUAGCCUCCCUUUCGGAAGGUUGUCCCCCUGAAGAGGGCAGGUUGCAUACGUGUUACUCACCCGUGCGCCGGUCGCCGGCAAGGAAAGCAAGCUUCCCUCCCGAUGCCCCUCGACUUGCAUGUGUUAAGCCUGCCGCUAGCGUUCAUCCUGAGCCAGGAUCAAACUCU